UACAAUAUUUGAUAACCCAAGGUACAUAAUUACCAACAAAAACCAAACCUAAAAUCUCUGUUGGAAUUCAUAAAACCAAGAAAAAAAAGCGACAAUUAUUGAUCAAAACAUAGUUAAAGAUAUAUGGAAAAACUCAUGAGAAUUAGGAAAAAAUGGAGAAAAAAGCUAAGGAAGAGGUUUGGUUGUUGUUGAGGCAAGAGCAGGCAUGUCCUUGAGCCACUGGUCCAAUGGCUUACCAAUGGAGUAAACAAUAAAUCCAAUCUGCCUGAGUUUAUCAGCGUCGACCACGUUUCUACCGUCAAAAACAAAAGCCGGUUUCUGCAUAUUCUCAAAGAUCCGUUGGAAAUCGAGUUUCUUGAACUCAUCCCACUCGGUUAAAAUGCAGAUACCUGGGCGCCCAUGCUAAUUGAAAAAGUGGAGUCAUAUAUAUACACUUUAGAUCAAGAUAUCAGAAACCCUUAAAUGAAAUCUGUGAUAACAAAGCACUAUCAAAUGAAAAAUAGUAUUAAGGUACGAAAGAAAGGAAUGAAAUUAUGUAGAUAACAACAGCGUGGCAUCUUGUGAGUAUGUGCAAGUCAAACACACAUAACAGGAAGAUGAUGGAUGAUAUAUUUGUAAAAGUGGAUGUUGUUCAUAGUAAAGCAAAGAAAAUAACCGCGGAUGGAAAAGUCACAAACCAGCUCCAUCAGGGUAAAUAGACUGGCUUUUACAUAUGUAGGUAAAAAUUUUUUUAUGGUAUUUGCCUUAAAAGAAUCAUUUAGAUCAGCUUGUUUCAUUACAUUAAGUUCACAAGUUAGUAUUCAUUCUUUAACAAAUUUUGAAGCAAUCCGCUAAUGGCCCGGGGUACGUAUUAUCAGCCUAUCAUCAUCUCUUGCUUCAUCAUAAAAGAGUUUGAGAGCACAAAUUAAGGCCCAAUUAUUGGUAGCCCAAAGAGUUUACUACUUUUCCUUAGACUAGAGCAAAGACAAACGACGUCGUUUGGGUGUAAGAAGAAAAUUGCCAAAGAUUUUGAAAACCUAGAAUCGUGAGCUCAGCCUGCUCGUCUUCUUCCUCUGUUUUUGUCUCUCUUACUCAGAUCUCAAAAAGAGCUUCUUUAUUUUUUUUUUCCUUCCUUUCCUUAGAAAAAAGAGUAAAUUUUUAUCAAAAUUUCCAGCUCUGAUAUAAAAGUUUGUGAAAUUAGUAGCUAUUGUUAUGUCUCUAGCUCUGAUUUCAUCUUUUCAAUGGAAGAAAAAGUCGUCAAAGGCAAUGAGAAGAAGACGAGGGGACGAUUGGUUCGCAUCGGAGAUUCCUUUGGAUCUCCAGAUCGAGAUUCUGAUUAGAUUGCCUGCUAAAUCGCUGAUGAGGUUCAAGUGCGUUUCAAAGCUCUGGUUUUCUCUUAUCCGUUGUCGAUAUUUUAGCAAUCGUUAUCUUACGGUGGCUUCCCCACCGCGAGCACCUCGUCUAUACAUGAGUUUGGUGGACCACAUCCAGUGUAAUUCAAUGGAAGUCUGCUAUAACCCUCGCGAGUCUGUAUUGCUAUCAUUAUCAUCAUCGUCUAGUACUGAUGCAAAGUCUUUCCACCAAGAUUUGACAAUGCCAGGGAUGGGAGGACGCAACAUGAUGAUUCUUCGCGGCUUGAUUCUAUACAUUGUUUGCAGAAAGGCGUGUAUCUAUAAUCCCACCACCAGACAAUGUGUAACCUUACCCGCCGUCCAAUCCAACAUUUUUGCUCAAGAAGAUUAUCAUAAGAGUGUCCUCUACUUUUUAGGACACGAUCCUGUUCUUGAUCAAUACAAAGUAGUUUGCACUGUUGCAGUAUCCUCAAAAAGGUUUAAGAGGAUAACCUCAGAGCAUUGGGUCUUCGUACUAGAACCCGGAGGUUCGUGGAAAAGAAUUGAGUUUGAUCUACCUCAUUGUCCUGCACGACUAGGACUGUGCAUCAACGGAGUCAUAUAUUUUUUGGCUUCCGCUUGUAUGUCUAGCGAUAUCCUUGUCAGUUUUGAUGUUAUGUCUGAAGAGUUCAAAUGGAUCCAAGGACCUCCUGUCGCGUCUGCAUUUAAGCCCAUGGGUUUUAUAGAGUAUCUUGGAAAACCAUCUGUUUUUGAUCAUUCCCAUCUUAAACGCAAAGGUUCCGUGGACUUAUGGGUCUUGGAAGAUGCUGGAAAAUGGUCGAAGAAAUCCCUGGUUUUGCAGCCUUGUCAGAUGCAUUUAGUUGAUAAGAAAUUAUCAUUCACGGUUAAAGGUACUACUCAAAACGGCGAGAUUAUCUUGGCACCCGUAUUGUUGCAUUCCCCUUAUUACGUUUUGUAUUAUGAUCCCAAAAAAAAUGAUUUGAGAAAGGUUAGAAUCAGAGGAAUACCGAAACAAUGGUUUGGUAAGCUUGAUGACACCAACUUACUUUUUUAUUUCGAUCUUAUGGAUGAGAGUGAAAGUAUCCUGCACUUGGAAAUUUGAAAUUGCCAUGUCGACAUUUCUUACCUUCAAUACAUUGGGAACUAUUUAUUUUGUAAUUUUGUUUUAUUUAUGUUGAUUGUUUUUUUUUUUUUUUGAUAUUUUGAAUUUUGAACUUACCUUUGUUUUUUAUGGUGACAAAAUUGACUUUGAUCAAAAAUCAUCUUACUAAGAAGAAUAAGAAACAUGGUAGCUAGUAUAUUAUGAUUUAUUGAUUGAUUUCACAGCCCUAAGAUUAAAUGAAAACUAACCUCAACUGUUAGAUUAAAAAGAUGACAUCAGCAGACCCAAAAAAGUGGGUUUGCUGUUUAAUUGAACUACUGAUUUAUUUUUACCUACCUUUGUUUGUUUGAAUUUCAAAUCACAUAACAAGUAUACGAGGUAUGUUAAUCUCAUAUGCAAGAUAGAGUCUCUUGCUAGAGACAUUUAGAUCUAUGAUGGUCUUUCAUUGGCAAAGUUAGCAUCUUUCAGCCAAUUGCUUUUCUAUUGACCAUGUCAUGAUCAUAAUCGGAGCAAGAGUUGCCGGUAUAGAGUUUGUCAGUUACUAUUCCUAUCAUCUUUCUUGUGCAUGUAGAGAUGAUGAAUUUUAAGUAACUAAUCACUAUGAAGGGAGAAAGAGAAGAGAAUGAUCAUAAGCUCUCACAAUCUCCUAAACGUAAGUGCUGCCUUGAAAUAAUAGCCGGUGAUAUCAAUAUUCCUUUCGAUCUGACGGUGGAGAUACUGAAGAAACUCCCGGCCAAGUCUCUUGUGAGAUUCUAAUGCGUCUCCAAGCAAUGGUCAACCAUAAUCGGCUCCCGGAAAACUCCCGGCCAAGUCUUCUUCUCAUCAUCUCACAUUUCUCUCUUCUACAAUAUUUCUCUCUCUAGAUUCUGUUCAGGAACUUGUCUUAAAAACUCUCACUCUCCCCCAAACUUAACAAACAUACAAGCAAAACACCCAAUGGGUCUCACUUCUCUUCAAGUUUGCAUGGAUUCGGAUUGGCUCCAGGUAUUUUCACUUAGACUUCCAUCGUUUGUAUUUGUGUUUCUUUUCCAAAUAUGAACAUAAGACUUCACACAUUGCAAGCAAAAAUUCCUUUGUUAAUUAGUUUUAAAAAGUAAAUGUCAAAUACGAAUGGAAGAUCUGUUUGUGUUUGACACGUACUUAAAAAUUGAAAAUAUUUUCCAUUUUAAAUGUGACUUAUUUUUUGUUUUAAUGAAUUUGUUUUGUCCCAUUUAAGUGCACAAUUUAAAAAACAAAAAUUAGGAUUGAAACAAUUUAGAUCUUAUUAAUUACUCCUCUUGAACCAUCGUUUUUGGCGUGCAUGGUGAUGCAUAUUAUGUACCAUACAACUUCGAUUGUAUAGAUUACAAAGCGUAACCUUACCCGCCAUCAAAUUCAACAUCUUUGUUCAAGGAAAUGAUCAUAGUGUCCUCUACUUCUUGGGACACGAUCCUGUUCUUGAUCAAUACAAAGUAGUUUGUAAUUUUGUGUCAUCAUCUUCACAAGAUUUGGACAUGAUAAACUUGGAGCAUUGGGUCUUCGUACUAGAAGUUGGAGAUUCUUGGAAAAGAAUAGAGUUUGAUCAACCUCAUAUAUCUACAAGACCUGGACUGUGCAUCGGUGGAGUUAUAUAUUAUCUUGCUUUCACUAGUAUGUUUGAGGAUAUCGUUGUCAGCUUUGACGUUAGAUCUGAAGAAUUUAACAUAAUCCAAGCGCCUCUUGUGGUGUCUGCAUAUGUUGGCUCUCUGGGUUUUAUAGAGUAUGGUGGGAAACCAGCUAUUUUUUAUCAUACUAGUCUUAAAGAAAACGGUUUGGUGGACUUAUGGGUCUUGGAAAUGCUGGAAACUGGUCGAGGAAAGCUUUGAGUUUGCAGCCUUCUCAGCUGCUUUAGUUGAUAACGACAUUCUAUUGACGGUAGAAGAUACAACUCAAAACGGCGAGGUUAUCUUGGUACCAAGUGAGUUGUGUUCCCCUUUUACAUUCUCUAUUAUGAUAUACUGAAGAAUGAUUGGAGGAAGGUUGAAAUCAAAGGAAUGCCGGACCAUAAGAAGGUUGGGAUCAAAGGAAUACCGGACUUUGGUUUCAAACUUAUGGAUAACAGUGAAAGCAUCAUCCACUUGGAAACUUGAAUACUAUUACUUGUUUUUUUGUUAUUUCUUUUCUUCUCAUUCCAAGCUAAGAUUAUCAUAUUAUCUUAUUAUUUUUCGCCUUUAAUAAUACAAUGCAACUAUUUUAUUUUGUUAUUUUAAUUUUAGGCAACAAACAAUCGUUUAAUAUGUGUUAUUCAAUUUUAUUUUAAAAUCAUCAAGUAAGAUUGGAUUUAAUCGCAGAGGUUACAUGUUCUGUAUAUCAAAUCAAGAACAAGUUUUAGAACCCUUGUGGAUAUAUAUAAGCUUUUGUUUCAAGUAGAAAUGAAUAUAUAUAUAUAUAUAUAUAUAUAUAUAUAUAUAUUUUUCUGUUUUUUGUUUUUCCUUUAAGCAUUCAUCAAUUGUGUAAAAAAAUCUCUGGAAGUGCUUUUAGUAUGUAAAGAAGUUAUCUACCUAAAGAAGUUUACCCUAUAGCCCAUGUUUCUUUGAUAAACCGGUACUAGAAUAACAUUUUUGAAGAGUCAGUGGCUCAACAUGUCCAUGUUUCUUUAAAUAUCGAUUCUCAAUGCCUUGAAUUCAACAGGUCCUUAAUUAUAAGUAUAUCGUAUGGCCAGGUCGGAGAUUUGACCUCAGGUAAAUGAAAGUAUUGUCUGAGGGUAGGAUUAUACAUUGUGACCAAAUGACGUCUUAUGAUCACCGAACAACAUUGUAAGCCGCAGACUUAUCGAUACUCAACACUUUCGAAAGGGAUUAUUACUUAAGGUGCGAGUUUUUGUUUCUUUGUGUAGGCGAGAAGAAUAAGACAUGGUUGUCACUAAACCAAUGGUGAAGUGGGAACGUUGGAGCCUUGCAGGUUAUUCAAAGAACGAGGCACGAUCUAGUCAAUGAAGACGCAUCACAACCUCACGAGGGGGACUUUGCUAGGAUUGUCUUGAGUAUCUCAACCGUUUACUCGAGAGAGAUAUUGAUAUCGUUGAGAUUUUAAGACUAAAGUUCAGAGCCGACUUGCUCUGAUACCAAUUCAAAUCAAGAUCACAUUAUUUUGACUGCUCUGAUUAAGUUACUGAAUGAUUCAGAAAGUGAUUCAGCAACACGAGAACAAGAGAUUAAAGAAUAACCUUUCUUUAUUGAUUUAGAAACUUCACAAAACUAAAUCUCUCUCUUCUGUCCUCUCUGAGGUCUUAUGGAACAACUCUCCAUAGCCUCUCAUAUAUAGAACUUAUCUACCCUAAGUCUAUAUGAGUCUCAGAUCUGUCUCAACACCUCCACGUGUCUUAACUCUCAUCUUCGGAUGGUGGAGCUCCUCUGGUAGCAGAACUCCCCCCGAGCUGUUCUGAGCUCACCCCGAGCUAUUCGAGCUCCCCUGGGCUAUUCGAGCUCCCCGAGCUACACUAAGCUCUUUGAGCUUUCUCUCAAGCUCUCUCUCUUCUUCUUCACGAGCUCUCCUCUUGAGCUGCCUUCACGAGCUCCCUCUGAGCUGCUCUCACGAGCUCUCCUCUGAGCUACCUCUGAGCUACCCUCUGAGCUACUUCGGCUAUACGAGCUACUCAAGCUCCUUGAGCUCCUCUGAGCUACACGAGCUCCCCGCUUGAGCUGCACGAGCUCCCCUGCUGAGCUGCCUCUCUUGUUCUUCAUAAGGCUCUUAUUUAUACUAGAACCAAGCUUCUUCUUUUCCUAUUGUGAAUAGGAAGACUUACAAAUCUUGUCCAACUUGAUAUUAUUUGUAUUUCCUUUUCUCUUGAUUUCCUUUCUUGGAUUUCCUUUCUUGUAUCUCUUCUAGCAUCUUCUAGAAGGAGAUAACUUGCUCCUCAAGUUAGUUGGAAUUAUCCAACAUUCUCCCCCUUAAUUCCAACUUGAAUUCCGGGAAACUUGAUUCUCGCCAAUGCCUUAGUAAGUGUGUCCGCCUUCUGCUCCACACCUUGAACAUUCUCAACUUCAACCUUUGUUGAGAUACAAUCUCUUGCUCCUCCUUAGCUUUUGAGAUCUUCAAAUUUGACUGCAUCUUAGUAUCCACAAGCAUUCCUUGAGCAUCUCCCUCUUGUUCUGCUCCUUGAAUUACUUCUUGUACUAGUGCUUGUACUACUUCAACGAUUCCUUGAACACAACCUUCUUGUUCUGCUCCUUGAAUCACGUCUUGUACUACUUCAUGUAAUACUUCAUGUACUACUUCAGCGAGAAGUAUUCCUUGAGCACAAACCUCUUGUUCAACUCCUUGAAUAACUUCCUGUAGUACUCUCUGUACUACUUCAACGACUAGUACAGAAUACCCAAAUAUCAUAACCCGACUUGGUUUGAUAUUCUCUAGACCCCGACUUGGUUCUAGCAUCUCUAGAAUCUGACUUGAUUCUAGCAUCAUUAGAACCUGGCUUGGUUCCAAUAUUGACCAACCAUCUACCUUCUUGAGAUGCGGCCUCGUGAUCACACUUCUUGACCAAUCAUCUACCAUCUUGAGAUGCGGCCUCAUGAUCUUCUUAGCUUUUAGUAAGCUUGAAUGACGUUCGGCUUCUCCCCACAUAUCAUUCAGAAUCUUCAUUAGGUGCCUAGAGACUCCUCCUCUAUGCAACCUCAAAUCUUCAUUAGAUGCUUAGAGACUCCUCCUCUAUGCAACAUCCUCUCUUCAUUAAAUGCCUAGAGACUCCUCCUCUAUGCAAUAUCGAUUCUUCAUUAGACGCCUAGAGACUCCUCCUCUAUGCGUAAUCGAUUGAACUCCAUUAGAUGCUUAGAGACUCCUCCUCUAUGCAACAUCGAAUAUUCAUUAGACGCCUAGAGACUCCUCCUCUAUGCGUAAUCGAUUAAACUCCAUUAGAUCCUUAGAGACUCCUCCUCUAUGCAACAUCGAAUAUUCAUUAGACGCCUAGAGACUCCUCCUCUAUGCGUAAUCGAUUGAGCUCCAUAAACUCUCCUCCUUUAUCGGUGCGAAAGGUUUUGAUGGACAAGCCGGCUUGCUUCUCCACACACUCUUCAAACCUUUUGUACCGAUCGAAAACUUCAAUCGAUAUGUCAACAAGGAACCACAUGUUCUUGUUGAUCUUGGCUCGUCUCUCACUUUCAACAUAAGCUUGCUGGAAUAAUCCGGAAAUUGUUUCGGACUUCAGAACAUAGUCUUCAAGGUACUACAGCUGAUUCAAUUGUCGACCUGACCUUCUCAGUUGUGCUAGUCCUUGAACUACUUCACCAACCUCACCCUCGUGGUUGUCUUGAGUGAUAUCCUCCAUGACAUCAUCUGCUUCAUGUCCUUCUCCAGCAUCUUCUUCGCGAAUCAACUCAAAAACUUAUAUGACCUAACUGAGCAUGCCAUGUUCUUGUAGAUUCAUUAGCAAUUCAUUCAGUCAGUCCUUCAGCGAGUCCUUCAACGAGUCCUGCAGCAAGUCCUUCAGCAUGUCCCUCAGGAAGUCCUUCAGCUUGCAGACAUGUUGCCUUGCUUAUCUCCAAACAACUUGAUGCUGACCAGCCUUGUCGCAUCACUUUGGAUAAAUUCUGCUUUUGGUUGUGAUCACCGGUUACUCCUCCUUGAGAUUGCAAGACGGACCUUCCUUGUCCCAUGCCUCUGCCGGAACUGUCACCUCCAAAGCUUCCUCUACCAUAACCACCGUAGUUAUAGCUUCCUUUGUUAUAACGUCUUCUUGUUAUAACCGCCUCUGUUUCCUGCUCGAAACUUCCCGUAGCCUCCAUGCUUAGGGUUUGAGGUCCUUGGUCUUUACUUUGGAUUUCUUACUCAACACGUUCUUCAUACUCCAGUAACCUCCCAACAAUGUCUUCAAACCCCAUCCGCUUUAGGUCAAGAACUUGCUCCAGGGAUGCUACAAUAUGAAUGAUCUUGGUUCGUGGUUGUGGAUUCUCGCUUGCCAUACUUGUUUACGAGUCACGUACCACUGGUCUUGUCUAGAGUCUUCAAACUAAGCUCUAACACACCACAGGUCUUGUCCAGAGUCUUCAAACUAAGUUCUGAACUUGUACAGAGUCUUCAAACUAAGCUCUGCCAUACCAUAGGUCUCGUCUAGAGUCUUCAAACCAGAAGCUCUGAUACCAAAUAAAGUUCAGAGCCGACUUGCUCUGAUACCAAUUCAAAUCAAGAUCACCUUAUCUUGACUGCUCUGAUUAAGUUACUGAAUGAUUCAGAAAGUGAUUCAGCAACACGAGAACAAGAGAUUAAAGAAUAACCUUUCUUUAUUGAUUUAGAAACUUCACAAAACGAAAUCUCUCUCUUCUGUCCUCUCUGAGGUCUUAUGGAACAACUCUCCAUAGCCUCUCAUAUAUAGAACUUAUCUACCCCUAAGCCUAUAUGAGUCUCUUUCUCUAGACUCUCAUGAGAUCUGUCUCAACACCUCCACGUGUCUUAACUCUCAUCUUCGGAUGCUGGAGCUUCUCUGGUAGCAGAACUCCCCCCGAGCUGUUCUGAGCUCACCCUGAGCUAUUCGAGCUCCCCUGGGCUAUUCGAGCUCCCCGAGCUACACUAAGCUCUUUGAGCUACACUAAGCUCUUUGAGCUUUCUCUCAAGCUCUCUCUCUUCUUCUUCACUAGCUCUCCUCUUGAGCUGCCUUCACGAGCUCUCCUCUGAGCUACCUCUGAGCUACCCUCUGAGCUACUUCGGCUAUACGAGCUACUCAAGCUCCUUGAGCUCCUCUGAGCUACACGAGCUCCCCGCUUGAGCUGCACGAGCUCCCCUGCUGAGCUGCCUCUCUUGUUCUUCAUAAAGCUCUUAUUUAUACUAGAACCAAGCUUCUUCUUUGCCUAUUGUGAAUAGGAAGACUUACAAAUCUUGUCCAACUUGACAUUAUUUGUAUUUCCUUUUCUCUUGAUUUCCUUUCUUGGAUUUCCUUUCUUGUAUCUCUUCUAGCAUCUUCUAGAAGAAGAUAACUUGCUCCUCAAGUUAGUUGGAAUUAUCCAACAAAGACCGUGAAGUUUCGGUUGCAUCCAUGUCAUAGAUUUUGGGGGGUCUUGUGCUCUUGAAAAUUCUGAAAAGUCUUGAGCUUCGCACCAGAUCCAAUGGUCCUGAAUCCGUUUUCUAAGAACGGAGAGAAUAUGACAUUGAUCACCGAGACCAGAUUUACAAUUACGAUAGAUCAAAUCAUGAGCUUUAUCUCUCCUUCAAGCAAUUCCAUAACCCCGACAGCAAAAGACGACGGCCAGCAGAAUAAGAAUCGCAGCUUCCAGAUUCAGAGAUCGUUGAUCCUUCUUGCUCUGAAUCAUCAAAAAAUGCUUCAACUUUGAGAAAUAGGAACUUUUGAUACAAACUUGAAAAAUCUUAAAGCUUUUGAAUUAGUUUUGUUUCUUGAGCUCCAAGUACAUAAUUAUAGCUAUGAAUAGAAUAGGGGAAUAAUCACAGAAAUGGAAAAAGGAACCGUUUGAAUUAACCUUUGAAUCCGUUUAGGUAGAAGCUGAAAUGACGAAAUUACCCCUUGAAUCCGUUUGCUUGCGGACAUCGAGAAUGUGUCAUUGUGUUGUAUCGAGUCUUCUUCUUCUUUGCGAGGCCACGACCGACACAUGUAACACGUUUUGUACGUAACCAUUUCAAUUUCUUAAAUGAAUUGUAGGUCAAUAUUUCUCUUAGUUAGAAUCCCAUAUGUGCAUAACUAAAUUAGUCGACAAACAAUGUUAAUGUGAUACAAUGAAUAUGUUAAAUUAGAUUAGUAUAGUUAACUCACCUAAAUCGUGUUUGACUUGCAUCAUUUCAAUCAAUGUCUUUAUAUGAAGUUAUUACUAACAAGUAACAACAUAUCGUCUUCUAAAUAUGAACUCUUAAUUUUCAACAAAUUGAGCUUUUUAUACGUUUUAAAGUCAUAUUAUAAGCAAACAAACAUGUAAACAAUACAAAAUAAUUAUAUUGAUUAAAAACAUAUCGUAAAGAAAUCUGAAAUUAAUCGCACUGUAAUACGUUUUAUGCGUAACCAUUUCAAUUUCUUAAAUAAAUAGUAUGUCAAUAUCUUUAUUAGUUAGAAUCCUAUAUCUAAAUUAGUCGACAAACAAUGUUAAUGUGAUACAUUGAAUAGGUUAAAUUAGAUUAAUUAACUCACCUAAAUCGUUACACUGUUUUGAAUAUUUAGAGCUGUCCAUAACCCCUAUUGAAAUAAUCCCGAUUAAACAAAAACCCUUAAUUCAAAUUAGCUUAGCUAGAGAUAUCCAAAUCUUAGCUAGAAAUAACCUUAAUCAUAAUCAUGCAUGUAUUUAAAGAUCUCUCAUUCAGAAACCCAUAAAUGGAUGAUGAAUCAAUGAAAAUUUGUUAUUGGGCUAUACUUAAUUUCAUGAACGAUGUAGGUCCAAUUAGAUACAUAAUACUAAAUGAAUGAUCUAUAAUUAUUAUUGUCCACCGAAAUUGUGAAACUUUUAAAUUUAUCAGCUAAAGUUUCCUUGAAAUAAAAGAAAAUAAAUUAUUUACAACUUUAUUUAAGAUCAACAUUUUCUACGUUUAAAAAAAAAAAAAAAGUAUAAGUGUUUGUUGUUUCUAGAAUUUUAGCAAAUCCUACAAUCGAUGAUGAUUAUUAAUGUUUUAGGGAAGUUAUUAUUACUAGGCCCAAAAAAUGUAUGGCCCAAGCGGGUUAGGCCCACAUUUUUGUAUAAAUAUAUAAUAAGAUUUUCCGCUUUCUCAACGCAUUUUACGGAUUUUGAAAAUUCAUUUCAUUUCAGAAAAAGAUUUUCGAAAAUGAAGAUGAGUAAGAUGCUCUGCUUGCGAAGGCGAUUUUCGAGAAGAGCAAGAGCUGGUAAAUUUUUCGACAUCUUCCUUCUUCAGAUGACCUAAAACUUGUUUCCGAGCAAGGAUUUUGUAGCGAUUUCGUGUUUAGAAGGAGGAUUUUGCUUUUGUUUUGUUGCUAAAAGUGUUCGUCGGAAGUGUUUUGAGUUUGGUAAAUCUGGAUCUGGUAACGAUGAACUAUUUGAUACUUGAACGAAACUCGAUUUCUGAAAUCAUAGACGACGAGAUUUUGAACCUAUCGAACACACUCAUUGAUGUUGUAUUCCGAUUUUGGUAUGGAUUCGUUGCUUAUUUUCUCUGCGUUGAUCUUAGGUGCGUGAUAGGAUUUUGAUUUCAGCUGUUUAUUCUCUCCGAUUUUCGCUAGAUCUGGUGAAUUUCUGAUUGGGCACUGUUGUACGAUGCUUGUUAGCUAGGUUCAGAUUCAUCGUUGCUUAUUUAUCUGCAUGAUUAGUUCUCUAUGUGUUUUUAGGUUUUGAUUCUCUCCGAUUUAGAUCUCUAUGUUAGGUUUAUGUGCUCUCUGAUUCAGGAUCUCGAUGUUUGAUUUUGCAAUUUGGUUUGUUGCUAAAUGUGUUCAUGGUUUGCGUUUAAUUUUGCUGUUUGUUUUGUUGCUAAUUGUGUUCCUGACAUGAGGCUUUCUUUUUACUAUUCUUGAAUUUUGUAGCUCCUCUCGUUGUCCCUGUGAAUGCCAAUCCUGUCCUUGUUGCUGUUGCUCAAGAGCAAGUUGCUCUCCCAGGUAUAACUCUCUUUCUUCCUUAGCUGCGUGAUAGGAUUUUGAUUUCAAGUGUUUAUGCUCUCUAAUCCUGAUCGUUGCUUAUUUAUCUGCGUGAUUGGUUCUCUAUGUGUUUUUAGGUUUUGAUUCUCUCCCAUUUAGAUCUCUAUGUUAGGUUUAUGUGCUCUCUGAUUCAGGAUCUCGAUGUUUGAUUUUGCAAUUUGUUUUGUUGCUAAAUGUGUUCAUGGUUUGCGUUUGAUUUUGCUGUUUGUUUUGUUGCUACAUGUGUUCCUGACAUGAGGCUGUAUUUUUACUAUUCUUGAAUUUUGUAGCUCCCCUUGUCGUCCCUGUGCAUGCCAAUCCUGUCCUUGUUGCUGUUGCUCAAGAGCAAGCUGCUCUCCCAGGUAUAACUCUCUUUCUUCCUUAGCUGCGUGAUAGGAUUUUGAUUUCAGGUGUUUAUGCUCUCUAAUCCUGAUCGUUGCUUAUUUAUCUGCGUGAUUGGUUCUCUCUGUGCUUUUAGGUUGUGAUUUUCUCCCAUUUAGAUCUCUAUGUUAGGUUUAUGUGCUCUCUGAUUCAGGAUCUCGAUGUUUGAUUUUGCAAUUUGUUUUGUUGCUAAAUGUGUUCAUGGUUUGUGUUUGAUUUUGCUGUUUGUUUCGUUGCUAAAUGUGCUCCUGAGGCUGUCUUUGUACUAUUCUUGAAUUUUGUAGCUCCUCUCGUCGUCCCUGUGCAUGCCAAUCCUGACCUUGUUGCUGUUGCUCAAGAGCAAGCUGCUCUCCAAGGUAUAACUCUCUUUCUUCCUUAAGUGCGUGAUAGGAUUUUGAUUUCAGGGGUUUAUUCUCUCAGAUUUUCGAUAGUUCUGGUAAAUUAUGAUUAGCACGGUUGUACGAUGCUUGUUAGCUAGGUUCAGAUUCAUCGUUGCUUAUUUAUCUGCAUGAUUAGUUCUCUAUGUGUUUUUAGGUUUUGAUUCUCUCCGAUUUAGAUCUCUAUGUUAGGUUUAUGUGCUCUCUGAUUCAGGAUCUCGAUGUUUGAAUUAAUUCUCUCUGAUCUUUAGGUAUUGAACUCUGUGUUUAGGAGAUUUUAUUUUAUAUCAUGUAUAUGUCUGUAGCUCUUGUGCGUCCUGACGUGAGGCUAUCUUUCAACUAUUCUUGAAUUUUGUAGCUCCUCUUGUCCCUGUUCAUGUUGCUCCAGAAGAAGCUGCUCUCCCAGGUAAACAACUCUUUCUUCUUUAGAUCUGAGUUGGUUAUUAUGAGGUUUUAAACUCUUUCUUUAGGUUCUGAAAUUUUACAAUUUGAAAUAGCAAAUCAAAAUAGUAUGAAAACAUUCUUACUUUAUUUCUCAGAUUUACCUCCGUCGUUUGAUAUGGUGGAUUCUGAUUAUUUCCUGUAUCUUUUUUUUUGUUUGUUGUGACAGGUCUGACUGUCAACAGAAACCAUCUGAUCAGAGAUCUCCCACGCCCUGUUCAACGUCCUCCUGUUGUGCAAGUGUCUCAGCCUCAACUUAGCCGGUCUGCAAGGAAAAAGCUCAAUAGAGGUCCUGGGACCAUGAGCCUCACUGCAGCACAGAAGAGGAUGUUUGGUCAUAGGAAGGGUAAGAAGAAGCACCGUCGUCGAAAGUAUGGUCAUAGCUAUUAAGCUCCCAGCCAGCAAAACAGGGAUGCAUCUUGCAGUGAGCUCAACAAGGAUUUCUAAACUCUCAUUAUAUCCUGUGAUUGAGCGAUACACUGGUUUUGGUUUGUGAUUUCGGAUUUACCAUGUGCACCUUUUGCAAAACAUGGAUUUAGAUUGCAGUGAGCUCAACAAGGAUUUCUAAACUCUCAUUAAAUCCUGUGAUUGAGCGAUACACUGGUUUUGGUUUGUGAUUUCAGAUUUACCAUGUGCACCUUCUGCAAAACAGGAAUAUACUUGGUGUCUGUUUUGGAUUUAAGUAAUAUCUGCUUCUCUCUUAAAUAUCUUGGUCUAUUGCAGGCAAAUAUCACUUCCAAAAUAUGUUGUCAAAUAAUCAGAUAUUUAGUCAUUGUAACCAAGCGAACACUGUUCACUGAUUCCUCUCUGAAAUUCUUCUUGUUCUUACAUUUGCUCAUCCGAUGACCUCCUGAUGCUUGAUAAGACGAAUAUAUCUUGUUGCAAAACCUGCAUUGAUGCUCAACGUUCUUCUUAUCAGAUUCAGUGAUCAUCUCAGUAUCUGAAUCAGAACACUCCAUAGCUCCUACUCCAAGCUCAGUUCUGUAAUACCCAGUUUUCCAAGUCACCAGCUUUUCGCAGUUUCCGCUGUUCCAAUUCAAUCUUUGUUCCCAAGAAACUCGCUGGUUCUUUCCAUGUCCCUUCCAUCAGUUUUUGCUCAUUACUCAAAGAACCAAAUUCACCUCCAUUUCGCAGCUUCUGCUGAUCCAAAACACACUUGUAUCCCAAGAAACUUGCUGGACCUUUGAAUGUAACAGGAGUAGUAAUCUCUUCUUUUAGCAUUCUUUGCUCAUUACUCAAAAACCCAGAUUCAAAUUCACCAGCUUUUCUUCGUUUCUGCUGAUCCAAUCUGUUAUCAUCUCUCAAGAAGCUAGCUGGUUCUUUCGAUGUUCCAUAACUACUAAACCUUUCUUCCAUAAAUCUUUGCUCAUCACUGAAAACCCCAUAUUCAAAUUCACCACCUUUUCGCGGUUUCUUGUUACGCAAACAACCCAAAUCAUAGCUACUUUUAGGUGUUUCAUGAAUCAUGAGUAACAUGUACUGCCUCAGCAAGAAGUUUCAGUCCGUCUACAAACUUGGGAGUACUCUCAGACAAUAGAAUCAAACAAUCCGCCACUUCUAAUUCUUCAUCAUUCGCAUCAAAAACAGAACGCGGUUCAAGAAAUGUACUAUACGAACAAGAAAAUGAAGUCUUCUUAUACCUAACAAGUCUCGAUCUUUUCUUCUUCCUCACAAAACUGAAGAUACGACACAGAGUCAUCAUGGAUUCUUCAUAAACCUUCUGGUUCGUCGAUAAAUGCAUCGUCGCUCGAUGAUUUGAAAAACAUUUCUCGUACCGAAACCCUUUUCCACAUUCUUCGCAUCGAAACAAAAUCUUCUUCAUUAGUUCCGGAGAUUCCAGGGUUUUCUUCUUCGGGUUUUCCCUUAUACCGUAGUAACAAGUAAAAUCUCGCUGUUGGUUUGUUGCGUGACUGAGUAAUCUUCAGAUUUCGCAGAGCUCCAUAGAUGGGUUUAUGUAGAAGAUCUUGGUGUUCUUCUUCCAUUUAGGCGCGAAAUACACGGGGUUUGUUGAUAAAGAAGAAGUCAAUGAAGACGAGGUAGAUGAUGUAGAGGUAGAUAAUAAAGCAACAAACCCAAGCCGGACUCAUUAUCAAAGAAACUCUCAGAUGAGUUGAAGAAAUAAGGAGGAUUAUGCUCUGUUUCUCGUCACUUUCCUGAGAAAUACUGAGAGAGAAAGUGUCGAAGAAACAGAGAAGCUUGAGACUAUCGAAUCAAACGAAAGAAUACAAACAUUUUGAGUUUCUGUGACUUUUCGGGAGAACAAGUGAGCGAGAGGAAUGGAGGAAACAGAGAGAAGCGGAGAAGAUAUAAGCACUGAGCGAAGUAACGUCGUGAAAGGGGCAUUAUAGUAAAUCGUCAAGAACAGAGGAGCGAAACUUUAUUUUUCGACUACAAGGUUCCCACGUGGCACAUCAUGACCGUGGAGGCGUCGACUAAAUUGGAAAAAUAAUUUAACAGAAUCUUUUACUCAUAUUAGAAACUGAAGUAGAAAUCCAGCUAGGGAAAGCUUUUAUAUUAUGAAAAUAAUACUCGAAAAGCUUUACAAUAUUUGAUAACCCAAGGUACAUAAUUACCAACAAAAACCAAACCUAAAAUCUCUGUUGGAAUUCAUAAAACCAAGAAAAAAAAGCGACAAUUAUUGAUCAAAACAUAGUUAAAGAUAUAUGGAAAAACUCAUGAGAAUUAGGAAAAAAUGGAGAAAAAAGCUAAGGAAGAGGUUUGGUUGUUGUUGAGGCAAGAGCAGGCAUGUCCUUGAGCCACUGGUCCAAUGGCUUACCAAUGGAGUAAACAAUAAACCCAAUCUGCCUGAGUUUAUCAGCGUCGACCACGUUUCUACCGUCAAAAACAAAAGCCGGUUUCUGCAUAUUCUCAAAGAUCCGUUGGAAAUCGAGUUUCUUGAACUCAUCCCACUCGGUUAAAAUGCAGAUA
rnacentral:lncRNA from 1 species